GACGUAGGGCGCGAGCGUUGUCCGGAUUUAUUGGGCGUAAAGAGCUCGUAGGCGGCUUGUUGCGUCAGCUGUGAAAAACCCGCAGCUCAACUGUGGGCUUGCAGCUGAUACGGGCAGGCUCGAGUUCGGUAGGGGAGACUGGAAUUCCUGGUGUAGCGGUGAAAUGACGCAGAUAUCAGGAGGAACACCGGUGGCGAAGGCGGGUCUCUGGGCCGAUACUGACGCUGAGGAGCGAAAGCGUGGGGAGCGAACAGG
rnacentral:rRNA from 1 species